rnacentral:rRNA from 1 species
ACCAGAUAGCUCAGUAACACGUGGCCAAACUACCCUAUGGAUCCGAAUAACCUCGGGAAACUGAGGCUAAUAUGGAAUAGCGUUCAUCGCCUGGAGUGGCACGAACGCGAAACGUUACGGCGCCAUAGGAUGUGGCUGCGGCCGAUUAGGUAGACGGUGGGGUAACGGCCCACCGUGCCCAUAAUCGGUACGGGUUGUGAGAGCAAGAGCCCGGAGACGGUAUCUGAGACAAGAUACCGGGCCCUACGGGGCGCAGCAGGCGCGAAACCUUUACACUGCACGCGAGUGCGAUAAGGGACUCCGAGUGCGAGGGCAUAUAGUCCUCGCUUUUCACGACCGUAAGGUGGUCGUAGAAUAAGUGACUGGGCAAGACCGGUGCCAGCCGCCGCGGUAAUACCGGCAGCACGAGUGAUGACCGCUAUUAUUGGGCCUAAAGCGUCCGUAGCUGGCCACGCAAGUCUAUCGGGAAAUCCGCGCGCUUAACGCGCGCGCGUCCGGUGGAAACUGCGUGGCUUGGGACCGGAAGACCAGAGGGGUACGUCCGGGGUAGGAGUGAAAUUCCGUAAUUCUGGACGGACCACCGGUGGCGAAAGCGCCUCUUGAAGACGGAUCCGACGGUGAGGGACGAAAGUUCGGGUCACGAACCGGAUUAGAUACCCGGGUAGUCCGAGCUGUAAACGAUGUCUGCUAGGUGUGGCACAGGCUACAAGCCUG